rnacentral:rRNA from 1 species
UACGUAGGGUGCGAGCGUUGUCCGGAAUUACUGGGCGUAAAGAGCUCGUAGGUGGUUUGUCGCGUUGUUCGUGAAAUCUCACGGCUUAACUGUGAGCGUGCGGGCGAUACGGGCAGACUUGAGUACUGCAGGGGAGACUGGAAUUCCUGGUGUAGCGGUGGAAUGCGCAGAUAUCAGGAGGAACACCGGUGGCGAAGGCGGGUCUCUGGGCAGUAACUGACGCUGAGGAGCGAAAGCGUGGGGGAGCGAACAG